UCUGCUUCCUGAAUGCCACGAGGUGAACAACUUUGCCUUCACUCUGCCCCUCUGCCAUGCCACCCUGCCUUGGAGCCAGCAGCAUGUAGACUGAAACAUCUACAAACUAGCUGAGAGUCUAUGGUGCCAGAGGACUCCGCAGUGCCAUUCUGUUUCCCUUCUCCUUCCCACUGUUGGAAUCCUGCCCAUCCCCAGCCAUCCUGCAAGGCUGUCCUGACUGCUGUCCCCAUGGUGCUACCCUAGCAACCCAGUUGGCUGGCUUCCAGGGAGGAAGGCAUGGUGAAAGGGACUGGUGGAGGAGAGCUGCUCGUGUCAUGGUGGCCAGGAAGCAGAGAGUAAAGAAGAAGGCAAGAGGGGAGAUGAACCCUUCCGGGUCAUGCCCCCAGUGAUCCACCCACCUCUCCUGAGCAGACCCACCUCCCAACAGCAAGUUCCCUAUAGUGCCCCGUGGUUUAAUCACCUUCCAAAAGCCCUUCCUGUGAGCACAUGAGACACUUGGGGAACAUCCAGACAUAAACCUUUACAAUGGAGUUUCUCAAGCAAACUGAUAAAGGCCUUGAUUACAUCCCUGGCACAUAAAUUAUAAGUAACUGGUGCAUGGUUAUAUAGUAACUGAAUAUUCAAUGAGUGUCUGUUGAGUGAAUGGAUGAAUGAAUCAAUCAAUGAAGAGAUGAACUGUAGUUACAGCUCUAAAGAUACCCGACACAGAAACUUACCAGAUCAUUAUUUUCUGCCAAAGCCACCAAGAAUUUCUUUUCAGAAAAUUGAAGCUGUCCAGUGUUUCAUUUUAAAGGUACAUGGGCUAGAAUCUGCAUUUCCCAGAAAUGACAAAGAAGUGUCUUUUAUUUGCAUCUUGGGUUUUGAUUGACUAUUAUUUUUUACCCACCUUUCACAAGAUUGUGGCACAUAAAAAAUGAAUUUUAAAAUAUUGUUAUUUAUUUAAAAUGUAAUUACGUAAAUAAAUGAAAAAGAGAAUGAGAGAUGAUUUUUCUCAGUUCAUCGUUCAUUCAUUUUAUUCAUCCAGAAACCUACAAGGUGUGAUUGAAAUAUAUGGUGAAUGUUUAAACUUUUAAAAAUUUUCACUAAUCCCCCUUGGUGUACUCUUCCUUGGUUUGAACACACUUAUCCUGUCCUUCUUGCCACUUUCUGAACCAGUUCUGGAAGUCCACUUUUGUGAGUGUCUUUAUGAGCGAUAAAUGCUGCUGCUGAGUACUAUCUGGCAGAAACGCAAGCUGGUAAAAACAUGACUCUGUGCCCUUAUCUACCUAUUCAGUGCAUCUGGCACCAUGCAGCUUCUGGCUCUUCCCUAAAAUAAAUAUGACCAUGAAAGGUGGUAUGGCUUGUGUCUAAAUGUUCCCUCAAAGCCUCAUGAGGUCAUAGGUAGGGGUUUUUCAGAGGUGACUGGAUCUAGAGGGUGUGAUGCUAGGAUUGAUUCAUGGUGCAAUGCUAGAUUCAAGGGCACUAGCAUGAAGGGUGUGAGUGCUAUCCACCCUAACUAGCCUGCAUAAGAUAUAAGGGAUAGAAAGAGCUGUGGUCAUCCCUUGUUGCUUUGCAACCUUCUGCCCUCCAUGAACUAUUUC
ensembl:lncRNA